GCAUAUCAAUAAGCGGAGGAAAAGAAACUAACAAGGAUUCCCUUAGUAACUGCGAGUGAAGUGGGAAAAGCUCAAAUUUAAAAUCUGGGGGUCUUUAUGGCCUUCCGAGUUGUAAUCUAAAGAAGUGCUAUCCGCGCUGGACCGUGUACAAGUCUCCUG
rnacentral:rRNA from 1 species